GUAUUAGACUUGUUAGAGAACAUAGCCUCAAUUUUCUUUCAGGUGGUAUGUGUUUCAACUGAUCUAUUAAUUUGGCAAUAGCACACCUUUUUUCGUUGUUUUAUUAGAUUCAAAUGAUGUUGAUUUCAUAUAUUUAUCAAACUGAAGGUACACUACAUCCAUAUCAACUCGAAGGAAACUCAUGUUAUACUUUCAGAUGAAAUGGGACUCGGAAAAAACCAUAUAAAGUAUCCCUUUUCGAAAAGAAUGUUUCUCUGGUGGUUGCUCCACUUUCUAUACAUAACACAUGCAGAUGGUUGAUGAAGGUCGACAUUAAAGCAUUUCUCUGCAAAAGACAUCGCGUGCUUUUGAUAGGAACUCCCUCUUCAGUCAGACUCAAAAUCACAACAGAAACACGGCGUGCACUGCAGACAUUUUAACAACAAAAAGACGGUGCAUUGCGGCGACUCCCAACAGUCAUCGCCGAAGCCUUUGUGUUGUCAGUUGUAAGACUUCAUAAGAUCACAAAUCGCUACCAUUUCAUUUACUUCGUAUGGAUUGAUUAAUAACUGUGAUUUAUUUUUAGGGCACUGAAAUUACUUCACUGUUGAUGAUGCUUUGAGGCUUUCAAUUAUUUUCACAUCUUAUCAUAUAAUCAACCAGUUAUGUAGUGUUUCAUUCAU